AGCCAGACAACUGUACAAGGAUUGAAGAAACAAGUUCAGUUAUAAUAAAUUACUCAAGGAUCUUAAGAAAGAAUGCUACUGCAAUGGUACUACAGGAUUCAGAACUAGGCCAGGUUAUUCCGGCUAAAGAAUGUUUCCACCUUUCUUGUUCAGGCUGGAAUUAUGAAGAAGGAAUUGAUCAAGAUUCAUGGGUAUUGAGCAGUAGCAUUAGUCAUUGCACAGUUCUUGUUCAUUUUCGUGCCAGUCCAGACUCGAUAUGUUAACUCACACUUAAAUCUAAUGCCAGUUCAAGCAGGAUAUUUGAACUUAGUUUGUGUGUUGCCUAGUACUACAAUGUUGGCUUGAUACUGUAAACUUUGUGUUACUGUUUGUUCAUAAUUCUCCUGCAAGCAUUGAAUGUUGGUAAUGUCAUGUUUAUUAGCGUUAACAAAUGCGUAAUAAUGGACAUUUUCUGGGAAUCGACAC